CUCAGGACGAACGCUGGCGGCGUGCCUAAUACAUGCAAGUCGAGCGGACAGAUGGGAGCUUGCUCCCUGAAGUUAGCGGCGGACGGGUGAGUAACACGUGGGUAACCUGCCUGUAAGACUGGGAUAACUCCGGGAAACCGGGGCUAAUACCGGAUGGUUGUUUGAACCGCAUGGUUCAAACAUAAAAGGUGGCUUCGGCUACCACUUACAGAUGGACCCGCGGCGCAUUAGCUAGUUGGUGAGGUAACGGCUCACCAAGGCGACGAUGCGUAGCCGACCUGAGAGGGUGAUCGGCCACACUGGGACUGAGACACGGCCCAGACUCCUACGGGAGGCAGCAGUAGGGAAUCUUCCGCAAUGGACGAAAGUCUGACGGAGCAACGCCGCGUGAGUGAUGAAGGUUUUCGGAUCGUAAAGCUCUGUUGUUAGGGAAGAACAAGUACCGUUCGAAUAGGGCGGUACCUUGACGGUACCUAACCAGAAAGCCACGGCUAACUACGUGCCAGCAGCCGCGGUAAUACGUAGGUGGCAAGCGUUGUCCGGAAUUAUUGGGCGUAAAGGGCUCGCAGGCGGUUUCUUAAGUCUGAUGUGAAAGCCCCCGGCUCAACCGGGGAGGGUCAUUGGAAACUGGGGAACUUGAGUGCAGAAGAGGAGAGUGGAAUUCCACGUGUAGCGGUGAAAUGCGUAGAGAUGUGGAGGAACACCAGUGGCGAAGGCGACUCUCUGGUCUGUAACUGACGCUGAGGAGCGAAAGCGUGGGGAGCGAACAGGAUUAGAUACCCUGGUAGUCCACGCCGUAAACGAUGAGUGCUAAGUGUUAGGGGGUUUCCGCCCCUUAGUGCUGCAGCUAACGCAUUAAGCACUCCGCCUGGGGAGUACGGUCGCAAGACUGAAACUCAAAGGAAUUGACGGGGGCCCGCACAAGCGGUGGAGCAUGUGGUUUAAUUCGAAGCAACGCGAAGAACCUUACCAGGUCUUGACAUCCUCUGACAAUCCUAGAGAUAGGACGUCCCCUUCGGGGGCAGAGUGACAGGUGGUGCAUGGUUGUCGUCAGCUCGUGUCGUGAGAUGUUGGGUUAAGUCCCGCAACGAGCGCAACCCUUGAUCUUAGUUGCCAGCAUUCAGUUGGGCACUCUAAGGUGACUGCCGGUGACAAACCGGAGGAAGGUGGGGAUGACGUCAAAUCAUCAUGCCCCUUAUGACCUGGGCUACACACGUGCUACAAUGGACAGAACAAAGGGCAGCGAAACCGCGAGGUUAAGCCAAUCCCACAAAUCUGUUCUCAGUUCGGAUCGCAGUCUGCAACUCGACUGCGUGAAGCUGGAAUCGCUAGUAAUCGCGGAUCAGCAUGCCGCGGGUGAAUACGUUCCCGGGCCUUGUACACACCGCCCGUCACACCACGAGAGUUUGUAACACCCGAAGUCGGUGAGGUAACCUUUUAGGAGCCAGCCGCCGAAGGUGGGACAGAUGAUUGG
rnacentral:rRNA from 1 species